rnacentral:lncRNA from 1 species
GGAAAACAUGAUUAAUCUUAUCUUGAACAUUUAUGUUUUGCAUUCCUUUGAGAUAUCCAAGAAUUUUGGGGACAGAGUUCUGAACCCAAAGGAGGGAGGUGUUGUUGAUAAUAACAUCUGCUUCCCAAGGAUCAAGUGAGGAUAGAAAACUGUCCUUUGGUUAUGACAGUAUAUGUCGUCGAUGAUCACAUGAGAAUGUUUUCUCUUGAACAUGCAGCAGAAACAAGAUUUCCGGUGUGGGGAAAAGUAAAUGGGACUUGUUUAAACAGAGUAUGAGGAGUUGCUUUCACGAAGUUUGGCUGUGAAGAGGAGGAAAAGGAGAACCAGGGUGCUGCUGGAAGGAGGCUGAGGUAACUACUUGUUUGAAGUAAUAAUAGCAACAGUGUAUUGGGAGAUUAUAGUUUAUUGAUAAAUGAGAUGAAUGGUGUCAAUGUUAGAAGAAUUGAGAACACUCUGUUAUAAGAAAGUUAAAGGAUCUAAGAUAACAUCUGGAAGAAGAAAUAGG